AAAAAAAGAAGUGUGUAGAAACAUCCGCUUCUACCGAAAGAAAAAAAAAGAGAAAAGAAAUGAAAAAUAGAAAUGAGGCAUAAGCACUUGCCUAAGUCAAAGACUCAUGCAUCAAUGUGAUACUCAAAAGAAAAAUUGAGUGAAAAAGAGUCAAGUUGGACAACACCCCAUAAAAUAAUUUGUGCACAAAGAAAAGAAACAACAUGAAUGCCGAGUUUUAAACCUUUGCCAUCCAUUUUCUUGUCUAUCCCCACCGUACCUAAGCCCCGUUACAACCGAAAGACCUCUAAAAGUGUGUGAAUUU
rnacentral:lncRNA from 1 species